GCAGGGUAAAGAAUACUGAGUGAAUUAGAAAAGAAGAGAUAUUGCAGGCAGCAGGCACUGAGCAAUGACAUGUUAUUCAAGAAAGGAUGUGUUGGGGAGGACUACCCAUCUGGAGCAUUGCCAGAAAUCUAUUCUCAACCCUCCAUCCCACCCCUGCCUUGAAGGAGCUGAGCUCCAGCCAAUAGAGUAGAAAUGAACAACAGAAUGAGGGGCCCUCUGAAGCAUCUUAAUGAAAAUUGAAACCCACUGGAAAAGUGAAGAAAAUCUCUGCAAUAAAGGCACACCAGACCACUGUAGUUGGGUUUUAGGUGAAAAAACUGAUUUGGAUCAUUGAAUAUACCAUGAACAGUCUGAUGAAAUGUAUGUUGGAAAAGUACAGAGGUGGAUCAGAAAAGAUGACACUGAGGAAAAGAUAUAUAAAUUGUAUCAGGAAAAAUAACGCAAAAGAAACUUCAGUAGUUACCAACAGCAGCAUAUGAAGCAAAAGCAGAGUGCUACCAUACAUAGCAACCCCUUCCCCAGACUGAGUUCUCCCAAGAACAAGCCCUCAGAGAAGACUGACGCUGGAUAAUUUGUUGCAUCCAAAUCUGUAAUGCCUUAAAAUAAAAGGAAAUUUCUAAUUCUUCAGUUUAAUUUGGUACCAG
ensembl:lincRNA